rnacentral:rRNA from 1 species
AGUGAACGCUGGCGGUAGGCCUAACACAUGCAAGUCGAACGGCAGCACAGUAAGAGCUUGCUCUUACGGGUGGCGAGUGGCGGACGGGUGAGGAAUACAUCGGAAUCUACUUUUUCGUGGGGGAUAACGUAGGGAAACUUACGCUAAUACCGCAUACGACCUACGGGUGAAAGCAGGGGAUCUUCGGACCUUGCGCGAUUGAAUGAGCCGAGGUCGGAUUAGCUAGUUGGCGGGGUAAAGGCCCACCAAGGCGACGAUCCGUAGCUGGUCUGAGAGGAUGAACAGCCACACUGGAACUGAGAGGCGGUCCAGACUCCUACGGGAGGCAGAAGUGGGGAAUAUUGGAAAAUGGGCGCAAGCCUGAUCCAGCCAUACCGCGUGGGUGAAGAAGGCCUGCGGGUUGUAAAGCCCUUUUGUUGGGAAAGAAAAGCAGCAGGUUAAUACCCCGCUGUUCUGACGGUACCCAAAGAAUAAGCACCGGCUAACUUCGUG